CGAAGUCAAAGGAGAAAGAAAAAUCAGAGAAGGAGGCAUCAUUGCAGGUGGAGCAAGGAGGAACAAUCAGCAGAUCUAGCAUUUAUUUUGCUCAAGCUACAGGUUAUUGUUAUAAUAAACAGUGUGCCUUCAUUCAACAGGCUAUCAUGGAGCUCUUAUUGGACAUGUUGCAGCUAGAUGAUGACAAAGUGGAUCCUCAACAACACCCCAUUGUAUAGAGGUUUUUUGACGGCAAGAGCAUUUGUGUAUUUUGAAAUGCUUGGUCAUGACCUGUAUGUGCUAGAGAAAGAAUGGCUUCACAAGUUCACGACAAAACUUUGACAGGUUAGGUCUCAUUUCCAGAUGAUGUUAAAUUGCGUAUGUAUAUGUCACCAACUUACGAUAUUAUAUCCACAGCGCACUCUGUUUAGAUAUUAGUGUAUUGGUUGUCCAUGAAGAUGUUGGCAUUGUUCACAGAAGCUAAAACCAAAAUUAUCCCGUGAUUCCAAAUCGGAGUGAGGCAAACUGCAUACUGGAAAACAGCCGGAGCAAGGCCUCGAGGACUAGGCCAACUGCCAUGGACUACAAUCAGGACAGCACCGCCGCCAAGCAGCCACUGACACAUGCUGAAGCAUCUCUGCAGUACACUACAAUUGCCUGCGAAGCAUGAGAUAUUUAAGCUAACAAAUGGUUAAUUGGUUUCAGCGCAUAGGGUGACCUUGGUGAGGGCAUACAGGAGGAACACCUUCCAUGCAGCAGUAGCAGCCAAGAAGGCUGAGAAGCUAUUUCUGAAGGUGAGGAUUGAUGGGGUGCCAUACAUUAGUAAGGUCGCCCUCCGGAUGUACAAGGGGUAUAGGGAGCUUAGAGAGGCGCUAGAUUUGCUCUUCUCUGCCCAGUCCUUCUGACCAGCUCGCCGUUGCUUGCUUGUGGAAAAUGUGCCAUGUGAGUUUUGCCAAGUUGAUGAGAUUUGGAGACAUGAGCUCUAUAAGAACUCUGUAGGAACUCAAAGUCCAUGGUUAAGCUGUACUUGCUUCCAGAAAUCUUCAAUCAAUUCAAAAAUCACAUUCGAAGCAAAGCACCAAAGUCACUUGAUGACUCCCAUCAGAUAAAGUCAAGAUAUUGAGCAAAGGAUCGAACCAUGCAUUGGUCAAAUUCCCUAAUAUUUGUUCAGAUUGUAUGAUUGUGUGGAUCUACCAUUUGUAAUAAUCAAAUUCCCUAAUAUUUGUUCAGAUUGUAUGAUUGUGUGGAUCUACCAUUUGUAAUAAUGUAUUAUAUUCCACAUCGGUGGGACUACCUUUGCGAGAUGCAUGUAUCCGUGCUCUGAUGUAAUCUUGGAUCCUAUAUAAAUGCAAUUACAACUAUUUUUUA